rnacentral:rRNA from 1 species
AGAGUUUGAUCAUGGCUCAGGAUGAACGCUAGCGGCAGGCUUAAUACAUGCAAGUCGAGGGGCAGCAGGUCUGUAGCAAUACAGAUGCUGGCGACCGGCAAACGGGUGCGGAACACGUACGCAACUUACCCAAAACUGAGGGAUAGCCCGGGGAAACCCGGAUUAAUACCUCGUAACAUAAUGGAGUGGCAUCACUUUAUUAAUAUAGCUCCGGCGGUUUUGGAUGGGCGUGCGCCUGAUUAGGUAGUUGGCGGGGUAACGGCCCACCAAGCCUGCGAUCAGUAACUGGUGUGAGAGCACGACCAGUCACACGGGCACUGAGACACGGGCCCGACUCCUACGGAGGCAGCAGUAAGGAAAUAUGGUCAAUG